rnacentral:misc_RNA from 1 species
GAAAUGCGAUAAGUAGUGUGAAUUGCAGAAUUCAGUGAAUCAUCGAAUCUUUGAACGCACAUUGCGCCCUUUGGUAUUCCUUAGGGCUUGCCUGUUCGAGCGUCAUUUGUAACCUCAAGCUCAGCUUGGUGUUGGGUGUCUGUCCCCGCCCCGCGCGGGGACUCGCCUCAAAAACAUUGGCGGCCGGUACGUUGGCUUCGAGCGCAGCAGAAACGCGAACUCGAGGCCCGACGGAUCGGCGACCAGAAGUCACUUCUUCCACAGCUUGACCUCGGAUCAGGUAGGGAUACCCGCUGAACUUAAGC